ACACAGGGGCCGAGUGCGGGAGAGGACAUGCGUCUUUAUCCCACAGCAGAGGGAAACCUCCCCAGGCCUCUAGUCCAGGCCUGACCCCUAUCGGGGUGGCCUUUGGGAGGGAGGGUCCCUUGGGAUGCUAGGUAUAGAUCGGGGAGGUCAGGGUGGCAGGAGCCGGGCUGGCAGGAGGCUGACGGUCCCUGCAGGUGCAUGAAGGUGCAGGAGAACUGGCAAGACCCCAAGAAUGGAUAUGCCUCCUUAAACGUGUGUCCUGUGUGCCCCGCUCACCUUACCCGAGACCCAGCCCCAGCCCCGGUCACAGAGGGAGAAAUUUGAAUAUAAGACACAAUGGAAAUAGCAAAACCAGUUCCACUCUCCUUAGUCUUCUAAACAGAAAGAGGGAUUCGAUGUGGGAAGCAGUAAAAGUUUAUUCCACACCAGGAGAUUUUAUGUUUUUGCCCCUAGAGCACUUUUCCCCUUGUUUUACUCGUGUUUCGGAAAUCUAGAAGACUUGCGAGUAUGGAGGAAAACAAUGAAAACAGCCUAACUGUUGGAUAUUUUUAAAAGAAAAUUCAGCAGAGCAGUUUACCCCCUUCCAGAUGUGGUUUCGCAUGGGCACAGUGGGACGGAAACUAGAUUCUCAACAGCAAAAGCCUUAUUUUCACUGAGAGUGGUUGAAGGAAAAUUAUUGUAUGCUGUUAAAAGAACUGAAAAACAGCAUGUGAAUCUCAUCAGCUGGAUAUAUUGUGACAACAUCAGCUGAUUGUUAUGCAUCUCAAAAUAUGAAACUCCAUCAAUUUUUCUAAAUUUGCUUUUGCACAUCAGUGGAACUUGAGCGAGCUAUCUAUCUAUCUACCUACCUAUCUAUCUAUCUAUCUAUCUAUCUAUCUAUCUAUCUAUCUAUCUAUCUAUCUAUCUAUCAUCUAGUCUAGAAAGCUGAGAAGGAAAGCAGAGACCAAAAGCCCAGCUGGAAGGGCACCUGUUGGCUGCAUCUGUUGACUGCACCUGUUAGUAGCAUCAGGAGGCACACUUGCACAAGGUGUGGAGUAGUCUGGAGGCUUGUGGGAAAGGGAGAUGAUCUGAUCGACACCACCAAUCUUCCCGCAUCCUCAGCACCACCUCCAUCCUCAUCGGAUGUAGAUACACUAUCCAGCCUCAGUGACUCGCUCCAGCUCACGCACCUGCUACAUGGACAUCGUGGAGGCCAAGCUUCUGAUCUUGGCAGGACAGUGGCUCUGCACAGCUGACCAUUUGACACCCCAGGACCUAGGGAUGGACAUGGUGAAAUAUAACAUUCUGAUCUGGCCCUAAAUCUGCUGCUUGGUCACAGAAGGCCAAGGGAAGGCUUAUGCGGUUAAGGGAAAAAACUCACCCGAAGCACAUCAAGUGUUGUCUGCUGUCAUCAGGCUCUGAGCAGUUCUCUCUACAAUGAUGCUUAGAAAACCAGGAAGAAAUACUCCCACCUCCAAGGCUGUGUUGCUAAGUGUGUGUUUCCAGAGUUGCCUUGGGCAAAGUCCGUUGCCCAUCACCACAGCUUCGGGUCAUCGCUGCCACGAGGACUACCCCUUCAGAGGAAGAAGGGAAUCCAUGCUUCCCUGCCUGCUUGGCCUGAGUUGACGUCCUUGCUCUGGGCUGUGAGGUCUACAUACCUGGCCCUGCAAGGUUCAGCCCCACGCAUGGACCUUCUGUGUCUGCAACCUCCCAGCAUCAGCACGAAAAAGCAACCUGCCGUAGAGAGCGGGGGUGUGGUCCAGCAGUCCUGCACCUGCUGGGAUGUGGAUGAGGCGCAUGUUGAGAACAACCCGGUGGGAAAGGCCUACUUUCUCAAGUGCUCCUUCUGGGAAAACAGCCCCAGGUGUUCAGAGACCAGCUGCAGACCAAACGGCAAAGCUGCAGACCAUCCCCCGCCGGCCUUUGUGACCAAGAAGAAACACCCUGUGAGUUAAGUGUCCAGUUAAAACAUGGAGAGGCCAAGGUGUUGGCUGAGCGGCGCUCAGUGUUGGGUCCUUCUGGCUUGGGAAGGGCACGCCCCGUGCCUUGAGCCCUUUGUCACACGUUUUUGUUCCAUGAAACAGAUAAUUGCUGAUUUGGGGACGAUAACCUCAGAUACUAGCUAAACCAUUUUUGAACUUCC
rnacentral:lncRNA from 1 species